rnacentral:lncRNA from 1 species
CCCAAACUCACAAAAAAUUGAUAGCACCGAAUUCCAAUUCACAAGUGUUGCCCUCAGUUUCCAUGUUGGCAAAUUUUUACAUCCUUCAAAAGAAGUGAAAUCAACUCAACUGAGGCUUAUGAAGUUAACCUAUGAAGGCCCAAAUAAUACAGUCACUCAUUUCAUAUCAUUUAGGUCCAUAUUCAUCUAGGUUCACCACUCACCAGUAAUAAUAGUUCCAUCAAGUUUCAUAACUAAUGCAUCUGUCACCUUUCUUGAUCAGAUAUAAACCAUCUGAAAUAAUGUUGCCAGAAUUUAUCUCUGACAGAUACUACCUUGAACAACUUACAAGUAUACUCGUUUCUUACUCUUUCUUCUUUGGUUACCACAUAUCUACAUUAACAUUUUCAUCUCAAGCUCUCAGCUAAUAUACAUUUGUUAGAUAUUUACUAAUAGCUGGACAGGAUUCCAUAUAUAGAGUCCAAUAACAUCUUCCUUUAAUCUAGGAGGAAUAGGACUGUACGCAUCCCCAAAGGCAGCCCUCCACUUAUCCCACCUCGCUCUGAUCUUUUAAAUCAUACUUCAUCACCAAUAUCUCUAACAUCCCCUUGCUUAUUACUAAUUCAUUCUAGUUAUUUCAUAGCUUCCAAUGACCGAAGUUUUUCUUUAAAUGCUACACAGUCUAAAACCAGCUUGCCAUCAAA